rnacentral:rRNA from 1 species
CCCUUAGAUGUUCUGGGCUGCACGCGCGCUACACUGAAGCGUUCAACGAGUAUUCACCUUGCCCGGGAGGGUUGGGUAAUCUUUUGAAAACGCUUCGUGAUGGGGAUAGAUUAUUGCAAUUAUUAAUCUUCAACGAGGAAUUCCUAGUAAGCGCGAGUCAUCAGCUCGUGCUGAUUACGUCCCUGCCCUUUGUACACACCGCCCGUCGCUCCUACCGAUUGAAUGGUCCGGUGAAGCGUUCGGACCGUGGCCUUUGGACGGUUCGCCGUCUGUUGGCUGCGGGAAGUUCGUUAAACCUUNUNAUUUAUNGGAAGGAGAANUCGUANCA